UGCCUAAAAGUACCGUUAAUGGAUCAGG
rnacentral:piRNA from 1 species